CGGCGUCCUGGAGGGCCCGGCGGCGGCGUCCCGGAGGCGGCGGCUCCUCAUCCAGUAAAGCUAAACUCUUCUCCAGUGCAUCAUGAACGGGGAGGAAUGUCCGGGUUGCAAAUAGAACGUGUGUCACAUUUCAGAAGAAAUGAGGCGACGUUGCGGAGGUCCAGGCGGUCGGCCCGGUGGAGGUCCUGGAGGAGACGGUCUCGGCGGUGGAGGUCCAGGCGGUCGGCCCGGUGGAGGUCCUGGAGGAGACGGUCCCGGCGGUGGAGGUCCAGGCGGUCGGCCCGGUGGAGGUCCUGGUGGAGACGGUCUCGGCGGUGGAGGUCCAGGCGGUCGGCCCGGUGGAGGUCCUGGAGGAGACGGUCCCGGCGGUGGAGGUCCAGGCGGUCGGCCCGGUGGAGGUCCUGGAGGAGACGGUCCCGGCGGUGGAGGUCCAGGCGGUCGGCCCGGUGGAGGUCCUGGAGGAGACGGUCCCGGCGGUGGAGGUCCAGGCGGUCGGCCCGGUGGAGGUCCUGGAGGAGACGGUCCCGGCGGUGGAGGUCCUGGAGGAGACGGUCCCGGCGGUGGAGGUCCUGGAGGAGACGGUCCCGGCGGUGGAGGUCCAGGCGGUUGGCCCGGUGGAGGUCCUGGAGGAGACGGUCCCGGUGCUGGAGGACGGCUGGGGGAUCCGGCGGUGGAGGUCCGAAGGCGGCUCGUGAUUAGACCAACUAGCUCCUCAUCCAUGGAAGCAGGAUUGAAGGAGUCACUGGGGAUGAAGAUCACUGCUCAGGGGCUGACGACCACUCAUCUUUCCGGAGAAGCGUCCUCAUGGUGCAGGCGGUCAAACCUCCACCUCUUUGAAGAGACCAAGCAGCUUGAUGACUGACUGGUUCCUUAUACUCCGGACCUCGUCCCGGAGCAGAGGACGGACCUAAGGCCCGCAGCGCAGCCGACUAGAGACUCCAUGUGGAACCGGUUCAAUUAAGUUGACCUCUCCUUCAGGCGACUUAAAGGGAGACCAGAUGUGCGGCAGCUGGGUGGCAUGGUGCAGAGACCCAACGCUGUACUGAACUACACCAGUGUGUCCUACUCCCAUAAACCCUGAGGAUCCCUGGAUGGCUACACCAAGCUCGUAAGUCCGCCCCUUGCGGCGGGACCUCGUGAGAUCGUAAGUUAUGACUGGGUUUCAAUGGAGAGAAAGUAAUUAUUUUCUCCAUUUUAUGUUGCACCACAUUUUGGGGGAAGAAUGUUUGAAUCAAUCUUUGUCAUUUAUUUCUGUACUCCAUAUCUGUAAUCCCAGCUGUUGUAUUUUAACACGGUAGCUGGGAACCCUCUUUAUAGGGAGCGGCUAGAGGGACGAGGCUGGAAGCAAACCUGAGCCUGGAUCUUAACCUUCUUUCUAAACCUAAUGCCGCAAUUUAACCGCAAAUAAAGUGAGGCCUAAAGUAACUUGACUCUUACCUAAACUCGCUUGUCUAAACUCGCUUGCAUAAAACCUGAACUUGCUUGGCUAAACUCGCGUCGCUUGCCUAAUACCUGAACUUGCUUGCCUAAACUCGUUUGCCUAAUACCUGAACUCGCUUGCCUAAACUCGCUUGCCUAAACUCGCUUGCCUAAACUCGCUUGCCUAAACUCGCUUGCCUAAACUCGCUUGCCUAAACUCGCUUGCCUAAACUCGCUUGCAUAAAACCUAAACUUGCUUAGCUUGACUCGCUUGCCUAAACUCGCUUGGCUAAACUCGCUUGCAUAAAACCUAAACUCGCUUGGCUAAACUCGCUUGCAUAAAACCUAAACUCGCUUGGCUAAACUCGCUUGCAUAAAACCUAAACUCGCUUGGCUAAACUCGCUUGCAUAAAACCUAAACUCGCUUGGCUAAACUCGCUUGCAUAAAACCUAAACUCGCUUAGCUUGACUCGCUUGCCUGUACUCGCUUGGCUAAACUCGCUUGCCUAAUACCUGAAGUCGCUUGCCUGAAGUCGCAUGCCUAAUACCUGAAGUCGCUUGCCUAAAACCUAAACUUGCUUGUCCAAACACGUUACACAAAGUUAACCAUCCAUAAUCUUUAACCCAAACCAGACUUGUCCCUGGGUCGCUCCACUUUAAUUUAGAAGUUUCCUCUUUUACCUCAUCUGUUUUGAGUUUCAUUCUUUGAGGGCUUGAAGUGCUUUGGAGGAUAUUUGAACCUUUGUUUGCCGCAUCAAAACCCAUUUUCAUGUGUUCCUGAGUAUUACAGACCUGUGGUGUUUCACAUGAGACCUUAAUGGGAACUUUUCUUUUGCUGCCUGCAUACGUAAUGCCAACAUUAGUAGGGUGAUCACUGUUGAUCCCAAUAUUGAUCAUUAACCACCUCAUUCUUUGGGAUUACAAAUCAUGUAAUUUAUGAGCAUAUUUGCAAAUGCCUCCAAAUAUCAGAUUGUGUAAAAACGAAUGAAAUGUAACCUGCUUGAUUUAAAGAAAAUAAAACAUCCAAAUAUUAUAAA